UACUUGCAAAUACUGUCAUAAACCUAAAGUGAAACAAUGAUGUCAAGGAGAAGAACUAAACAAAGCGUUUUGAGGAUCUUUAGUUAUGAUAUGCGUUUUGUUUAAGCUAUUUAUUUUGGGGGACCUUGGUUUGUCAUUUAGUUAUUGUUACUUCUCCAGAAAUUUUAUCACAAUCCUUGUUUCAGUUAUGGGUUAUGUUGUACGAGUUGUGGGUGGGUAUAUAAGAGCAAAGAGGGAAAGUAGAGGGUUUAUCUGGAAUCUAUUGAAAUUUUAGAGUUGUAUUCUAACAAAUGGUAUCUAGAGCCGACGAUUCUUGGAGGACGACACACUUUUCGACCAACAACAAGAUAGAGUGUGAUUAUUCUUUAGUUGUUCAUUGGCUGUCCUAGCAUGCUUGCAAUGUUUGGUAUCUUUGGGAUUAUUAGAAAGAGUUGCUUAAGGCGAUUGAAGGCAUGACUUUCUCUAUUUCACACAUCUUUUGUGAGGGCAACCAAGUUGCAGAUUUCUUUGCUUAACAAGGAGAAGCUAGGGUCACUAGGAUGUAUGGCGAGCCUGACGUAUUACCUCAUGCUUCGGCUAGCUUCUCACAAGAAGAGUCUUCAGGAAAUUAGGGAGCACUUGAAUUAGCUGAUGGAGUUGGCGUGAAUGUUAACGGCAAAUUAGAACAAAUUUCAUAAUUGUAAGGUCAUUAUAGAAAAAUCAGUGAGUGGGCAAUCAUCAACAAAGAUAACUUCCACCUCUUCCCACACCUCAUUCUUCGUCAAAUCACUUGGUCCUGAUGAGAAGCCACCUUUAAUUCCCAAUAAGGCUUUAAUUCCCAACAAAUUGUACAACUACAAACUCAAAAGGUGAAGAAAAAACCCCUCUCAAUAGCUGUGGAGCAAAAGAAACAAACUAUUAAAUCUAAAAUGCUCGUGAAACCUGCACCCUAGGGGAAUGGCUUAGCAACUAUUUCUGACAAAGAUGAGACUGAAGAGGCAAGAAAAGAAGAGUCAAAGCAAACAAAUGAGGAAGAGGAGUUGGCUAGACAAAUGGAGCACUUGAGAAGGGAAGAGAAGUCAACCAAGGACAUUGUUGGCAUGGAGUGGAUUGAGAAAAAAGUUGGGCCCUCAACGUGCAAAUGGAUCUUCGUCUGAAGGACAUUAGCAAUCGGGACCAUGCAACAAAAAAUAAGAGCAUCCCAGAAGUAGAGAAGCACUAUACUAAGGCAACACUACCCAUGGAUGAAAAGCGUACCACUGCAUUUGGGUUGAUGGAGAUUGAUGAAGCAGCUCGCAUGGUUGAGUUUGCCAAGAAAUUUAAAGGUGGAGUGGUAAAACAUCCAUUUGCCCAGUCAACAAGGAAAAAGGAACCAAACAAAGGGGCUGGAAUAGAUAGCAAGGGGCCAUAUUGCAACCCCUCGCCCAAGCAGUGGCAAGGAACAAGAAGGAAAAUAUGUGGUAUAAAGACUUUCUUAUGACAUCUAUCACAAGAAUGUAGAUACCACACGCAUCGAGAAGGAACUAAUAGGAAAAGUCUUCACAAAAUUAUUGGAUCCCUAAAAUGUCAAUGACAAAUUCAGUAUUAAUCCAUGCAACAUUAAUGA